rnacentral:rRNA from 1 species
AUUGAACGCUGGCGGCAUGCCUUACACAUGCAAGUCGAACGGCAGCACGGGAGCAAUCCUGGUGGCGAGUGGCGAACGGGUGAGUAAUAUAUCGGAACGUGCCCAGUCGUGGGGAUAACGUAGCGAAAGCUACGCUAAUACCGCAUACUAUCUAUGGAUGAAAGCGGGGGAUCGCAAGACCUCGCGCGAUUGGAGCGGCCGAUAUCAGAUUAGGUAGUUGGUGAGGUAAAGGCUCACCAAGCCGACGAUCUGUAGCUGGUCUGAGAGGACGACCAGCCACACUGGGACUGAGACACGGCCCAGACUCCUACGGAGGCAGCAGUGGGGAAUUUUGGACAAUGGGCGCAAGCCUGAUCCAGCAAUGCCGCGUGCAGGAUGAAGGCC